AUCUUGUUGUAUUUCAUAAGCGAGAUGAUUGGGGGUUUAUGUGCAUGCAUGAGAUGUGCCUCAGACAAAUCUUGUUACGACGUCGGCACAUUACCCAUCCGACA
ensembl:snoRNA